rnacentral:rRNA from 1 species
UACGAAGGGGGCUAGCGUUGUUCGGAAUUACUGGGCGUAAAGCGCGCGCAGGCGGUCUUCCAAGUCAGUGGCGAAAGCCCGGAGCUCAACUCCGGAAUUGCCAUUGAAACUGUUAGACUUGAGGAUGAGAGAGGUGAGUGGAAUUCCCAGUGUAGAGGUGAAAUUCGUAGAUAUUGGGAAGAACACCGGUGGCGAAGGCGGCUCACUGGCUCAUUACUGACGCUGAGGAGCGAAAGCGUGGGGAGCGAACAGG